AAUAAUGAAAUUAUAGAAAAUUAAAUUAUAGAAAAUUAAUCGCAAGAGCACUCCUACACUGUGCCUUUUUCCAGAUUAAAUUUCUAUGGUAGAUUGAAAAGGCAAAUCAAAACAGAUGAGAAUUAACAGCGCCUAACCGAAUAAUGUUUUAUAUAAUAGAAUACUAAAUCGCGGAGCCACCGCUGGCAGAACGAAACAACUACUGGCCUUGGUUUAUCAGGUGUAGUAUUUGGCUUUCGCGGCCCCAUACGGUAAAAAAUUGAAAUUAAACGGAACCCGACGCUAAUACGCGCUACCUUGUCUGCAGCGCCAUCUACUAGUGAUCGUGCUGGAAUG